CAUGGAGUCUGGGUCCCCCUCAUCACUAUAUACCAAGCAAGAGUCUGCACUAUACCACCGGACCACCAGGGAGUGUAAUGUCCCCCCUCCCUGGCCACGGGUAAAAAGCAAGGAGGGAGGGAACAAAAUAAAACAUUUUUUUUAAAAUGUCUAAAUAAAACCCACUACAUACACCCUACAUCACACACACAGUGCAUGCACUAUAUUCACACACUCCUUGCAUCCACGC